CCAACUGAUUCUUGUUCCCUUGAAGAAAUGAUGCCAGGGACCCUUUGUGUGCUUCUCUGGCAGGAAGAACAGUUCUACCCUGGGAACCGAGUGCUUCAUUGCCCUCCUGGUGGAGGUCCCAAGAUGGCACAGAGAGACCAGAUGAGUUCUCCUGAAGACCCUUCAGUAUUUCCUCCAAGCUUCAUUUCCCAGACUCCCGUAUUCUCCAAGUCACCAGAGAAUGGCAUUUUGUUUUGACCGAAGAUUGUCGAAACAACAACAAUGGUGGCACCUGUUAGUUGGUAUCCAAGGUGUCAUGACAAGAAAUUUCACACUUGACUCUCCAUUUAAAAGGUUCACAGCAAAACUGAAAGGAGGAGGAUACAGAGAUUUUCCACAUUUUCUCUGUCCCUACAUGUGCAUAGCUUCUGUAAUUAUCCACAUCCCCCAACAAAAAGUAAUACAUUUAUUAAUUGAUGAAUCUUCAGUGACACAUCAUAAUCACCCAAAGAUCAUAGAUUACAAAAGGGUUUACAGUGGUGUUGUAGGGUUCAGAUAAAUGUAUAACGACACAUAUCCCCCAUUAUAAUGCAUUUCCUGGGUUGCUUAGCUUUUGCUGGGAAUACAGUUCUUUAUUCAAAAUUAUUUCUGAGCUCUUUCUAUAUGUGUCAUUGAGACAGGUGAC
rnacentral:lncRNA from 1 species